rnacentral:lncRNA from 1 species
GGAGAAUUUCUCUCUCAUUCAAUGCCUCUCUUAUGCUUCAGAUCUCUCUGACUUUCUCUGUCUCUGACCUCUAGAUCCAGAUGUGAAGGCCUGCUGUGAUGAGGUCAGGCUCGUCUGGGUAAUCUCCCUAUUUUAAGGUCAAUUGAUUUGGGAACUUAAUUACAUCUGAAAUGAGUGUUUGAAUAACUGGGCUUCACAGUGUUAGUGUCUGAGUAACCGGGAGAAGGUAUGUGUACAGCAGGGACUAAGAACCUUGGAAUCUUUUAGAAGUCUACCCACCACAGUGGGAAAUUCCUCAAACACAGGAAGGUGUACCAGUGGUUCAAAUGUUGGGAAAUCAAAAACUUUACAAAUGUCUACCACAGGAAGAAAGAGGACAAAUGAAGACAUAGGAAAACUAAAAGGUAAGCAUCUGAGACUGAAGUUAUAAAUUCUACUAAGGAACUAAAUAGUGAUGGACAAAAGGAAUACAGAACAGUGUUGAAAGCCUGGCUGAGACGUGAUGCAGAAAAUGGCAAUAGCGGCCUUUGAUGUUACUAAUGAAUUUCUUAAGCAAUUAACUACAGCAAUGAGUAUAAAAAGAUGAAGCUGGAGAAAUUGAAUUGAGGUGUUUGCAUAGCAUGAAGAUUGGCAAGGCAAGGAGAGCACUGGUCAUGGAAGCAAAGGAUCAUGGCUGCACUUGCCUGUACUAUGAAGGCCGCGGGCAGAAUGCAGAAAGACUCUAAUACAGAAAGACUAUGCAGUGUGCACGAGGUGAGGCACCACUAGUGCAAGCCCCCGUCUUCCCUGCAGAUGUUUCACCACUCCUCCGUGAAGAAGAGGAAGAAGUCAAAAUCACAUGCGGAAAUUUCCCAGGUGCCACAGAUGAUGUGGCCAGAAGGAUGACCUCCUCUCGGGUCUCUGAAAAUCAAGGUAGUCAAGCCUUCUGCAGAGAAGCUCAGGACUGCCUGCUAUUAUCUCUCCUCCAAAAGAUAAUAAUUCCACAAACAGUUGUUGCACACCUACAAAAUACUGACUCUGCACCAAACACUGGGGAAUAUAAAGAUGAUUAAGAUACAGUUCUUGUCCUCAGGAGGCUGCUGGCUAGUGGGGGGACACAGGUGAUGAACACAACAACAGCGGCACUAGACACAGUGGCCAGCAGAGAAGGGAGUGGGGAACUUGAGGGUGGGCUGGGUCCUCCUUGAAGGGCAAGACGGGCUAUGAUAAUAGUAUUUAUUGAGCAUUUACUGUGUUCCAGGCACCGUUCUAAGUAUACAUGUAUUAACCAAUUAAAAACAUGCAUGAGGAGGCCAGCCCAGUGGCGUAGUGGGUAAGUUUGCGUGCUCCUCUUCGGUGGUCUGGGGUUCAUGGUUUCGGAUCCCAGGUGCAGACCUACAAACCAAUCACCAAGCCAUACUUGGGUUGCGCCCCACAUACAAAAAAUAGGGGAAGCUUGGCACAGAUGUAAGCUUAGUGACAAUUUUCCUCAAGCAAAAAGAGGAAGAUUGGCAACAGAUGUUAUCUCAGGGCCCAUCUUCCUCACCAAAAAAAAAAGAAAAGGAAGAUAGAAAGAAAGAAAAAAAGAAAAAAAAAAUUCCCCCCAACCGCCCAAAAUGCAUGAGACAAGUACUAGUAUUAUCCCCAGAUGAGUAAACUGAGAAUGUAAGUAAUUUGCUUAAGGUCACACAGCUAAGUCUGGAUUCAACACCUCAGUGCAUAGUCUUAAUGACUGCACAGUGCUGCAGGAAAGCAUUUCCAGGAAGCUGCUCCAGGGCUAAGAAUAUAAAAAAUAGGCAUGGAUUAGUAAUCUUUAACAUGUUUUGUAGGUGCUCUGGUAGAGUGUGGACUAGAGUCCCAGAUGUGAGACUAGAAUCUAGGAUUUCCCAAGAGGAAGUAUCCAGCGAUAGAGUCCCCAUAAGCAAAAUAUCCAGAAAGUUCCUAUUUCAGGUAACUGUGCUUCUAGAACCCUGUUUAGAAAUCCCUGUUCCCCUAAAGAUGGUGACUAGGGUUCAGGCAAGCUACCAGAGAUUUACACAUUAAAAUGCAAAUGAGGCUGGAUUCUAAGAGUUUAAAGAGCCAUGAUUUUAGUCCACCAGGCUUCCCAGAGCCAGAUCAUUGUCUUUAUCUUGCAAAUAGAGAGAUUUGAGAGUUUGAGAGCAGAAGAGCCCCAAACAGGACUUGGCAUGCUAGGGCUGGCCUGAGGCAGAGCUGGGAAGAAGCCAUUUUGCAGAAGGAAAAAUACCUAGAAAGGAUGAGCGUAUAUCUAAUCCAGAAUGAGCUUUCUGACAAUGGAAAGAUUUGGUAGGCUCAGGCAAGAGGAGUCUUGAUAAGGGCAAGCAGAAAUGAUUGAGAAAAAAUGGGAUUCCAGCAUGUAGGUGGCGAGGAAUGUGUCUUGGCAGCCUUCGAUUUCAACAGGGAGACCUGGGCUGGGAUGGGAAAGGGCCUUCUCCUCCAGGACCAAGGUGGAGCUAAAGGAACGACCUCAGCUUUGGCCAGGGGUGUAGAAGUCAGCUGUGCUGACCAGUGGGACAGUAGCCUUGUAGGUCGGGACUCCUGUGGGGCAUGUGGCCUGGCAGAAGGGAGGAAGACAGAGAGGGCUUGAAUGGACCUGUUUGAAUGCUUUAAGCUGAAGCCAGACUACUGAGUAAUGUGCCACAGCCCUCAACUCUCC